GGGUUGUGAGGUUAAGCGACUAAGCGUACACGGUGGAUGCCCUGGCAGUCAGAGGCGAUGAAGGACGUGCUAAUCUGCGAUAAGCGUCGGUAAGGUGAUAUGAACCGUUAUAACCGGCGAUUUCCGAAUGGGGAAACCCAGUGUGAUUCGUCACACUAUCAUUAACUGAAUCCAUAGGUUAAUGAGGCGAACCGGGGGAACUGAAACAUCUAAGUACCCCGAGGAAAAGAAAUCAACCGAGAUUCCCCCAGUAGCGGCGAGCGAACGGGGAGCAGCCCAGAGCCUGAAUCAGUGUGUGUGUUAGUGGAAGCGUCUGGAAAGGCGUGCGAUACAGGGUGACAGCCCCGUACACAAAAAUGCACAUACUGUGAGCUCGAUGAGUAGGGCGGGACACGUGGUAUCCUGUCUGAAUAUGGGGGGACCAUCCUCCAAGGCUAAAUACUCCUGACUGACCGAUAGUGAACCAGUACCGUGAGGGAAAGGCGAAAAGAACCCCGGCGAGGGGAGUGAAAAAGAACCUGAAACCGUGUACGUACAAGCAGUGGGAGCACGCUUAGGCGUGUGACUGCGUACCUUUUGUAUAAUGGGUCAGCGACUUAUAUUCUGUAGCAAGGUUAACCGAAUAGGGGAGCCGAAGGGAAACCGAGUCUUAACUGGGCGUUAAGUUGCAGGGUAUAGACCCGAAACCCGGUGAUCUAGCCAUGGGCAGGUUGAAGGUUGGGUAACACUAACUGGAGGACCGAACCGACUAAUGUUGAAAAAUUAGCGGAUGACUUGUGGCUGGGGGUGAAAGGCCAAUCAAACCGGGAGAUAGCUGGUUCUCCCCGAAAGCUAUUUAGGUAGCGCCUCGUGAAUUCAUCUCCGGGGGUAGAGCACUGUUUCGGCAAGGGGGUCAUCCCGACUUACCAACCCGAUGCAAACUGCGAAUACCGGAGAAUGUUAUCACGGGAGACACACGGCGGGUGCUAACGUCCGUCGUGAAGAGGGAAACAACCCAGACCGCCAGCUAAGGUCCCAAAGUCAUGGUUAAGUGGGAAACGAUGUGGGAAGGCCCAGACAGCCAGGAUGUUGGCUUAGAAGCAGCCAUCAUUUAAAGAAAGCGUAAUAGCUCACUGGUCGAGUCGGCCUGCGCGGAAGAUGUAACGGGGCUAAACCAUGCACCGAAGCUGCGGCAGCGACACUAUGUGUUGUUGGGUAGGGGAGCGUUCUGUAAGCCUGUGAAGGUGUACUGUGAGGUAUGCUGGAGGUAUCAGAAGUGCGAAUGCUGACAUAAGUAACGAUAAAGCGGGUGAAAAGCCCGCUCGCCGGAAGACCAAGGGUUCCUGUCCAACGUUAAUCGGGGCAGGGUGAGUCGACCCCUAAGGCGAGGCCGAAAGGCGUAGUCGAUGGGAAACAGGUUAAUAUUCCUGUACUUGGUGUUACUGCGAAGGGGGGACGGAGAAGGCUAUGUUGGCCGGGCGACGGUUGUCCCGGUUUAAGCGUGUAGGCUGGUUUUCCAGGCAAAUCCGGAAAAUCAAGGCUGAGGCGUGAUGACGAGGCACUACGGUGCUGAAGCAACAAAUGCCCUGCUUCCAGGAAAAGCCUCUAAGCAUCAGGUAACAUCAAAUCGUACCCCAAACCGACACAGGUGGUCAGGUAGAGAAUACCAAGGCGCUUGAGAGAACUCGGGUGAAGGAACUAGGCAAAAUGGUGCCGUAACUUCGGGAGAAGGCACGCUGAUAUGUAGGUGAAGCGACUUGCUCGUGGAGCUGAAAUCAGUCGAAGAUACCAGCUGGCUGCAACUGUUUAUUAAAAACACAGCACUGUGCAAACACGAAAGUGGACGUAUACGGUGUGACGCCUGCCCGGUGCCGGAAGGUUAAUUGAUGGGGUCAGCGCAAGCGAAGCUCUUGAUCGAAGCCCCGGUAAACGGCGGCCGUAACUAUAACGGUCCUAAGGUAGCGAAAUUCCUUGUCGGGUAAGUUCCGACCUGCACGAAUGGCGUAAUGAUGGCCAGGCUGUCUCCACCCGAGACUCAGUGAAAUUGAACUCGCUGUGAAGAUGCAGUGUACCCGCGGCAAGACGGAAAGACCCCGUGAACCUUUACUAUAGCUUGACACUGAACAUUGAGCCUUGAUGUGUAGGAUAGGUGGGAGGCUUUGAAGUGUGGACGCCAGUCUGCAUGGAGCCGACCUUGAAAUACCACCCUUUAAUGUUUGAUGUUCUAACGUUGACCCGUAAUCCGGGUUGCGGACAGUGUCUGGUGGGUAGUUUGACUGGGGCGGUCUCCUCCUAAAGAGUAACGGAGGAGCACGAAGGUUGGCUAAUCCUGGUCGGACAUCAGGAGGUUAGUGCAAUGGCAUAAGCCAGCUUGACUGCGAGCGUGACGGCGCGAGCAGGUGCGAAAGCAGGUCAUAGUGAUCCGGUGGUUCUGAAUGGAAGGGCCAUCGCUCAACGGAUAAAAGGUACUCCGGGGAUAACAGGCUGAUACCGCCCAAGAGUUCAUAUCGACGGCGGUGUUUGGCACCUCGAUGUCGGCUCAUCACAUCCUGGGGCUGAAGUAGGUCCCAAGGGUAUGGCUGUUCGCCAUUUAAAGUGGUACGCGAGCUGGGUUUAGAACGUCGUGAGACAGUUCGGUCCCUAUCUGCCGUGGGCGCUGGAGAACUGAGGGGGGCUGCUCCUAGUACGAGAGGACCGGAGUGGACGCAUCACUGGUGUUCGGGUUGUCAUGCCAAUGGCACUGCCCGGUAGCUAAAUGCGGAAGAGAUAAGUGCUGAAAGCAUCUAAGCACGAAACUUGCCCCGAGAUGAGUUCUCCCUGACUCCUUGAGAGUCCUGAAGGAACGUUGAAGACGACGACGUUGAUAGGCCGGGUGUGUAAGCGCAGCGAUGCGUUGAGCUAACCGGUACUAAUGAACCGUGAGGCUUAACCUUACAACGCCGAAG
rnacentral:rRNA from 1 species